CCUACGGGAGGCAGCAGUGAGGAAUAUUGGUCAAUGGACGCAAGUCUGAACCAGCCAUGCCGCGUGCAGGAAGACGGCUCUAUGAGUUGUAAACUGCUUUUGUACGGGGGUAAACGCAGAUACGCGUAUCUGUCUGAAAGUAUCGUACGAAUAAGGAUCGGCUAACUCCGUGCCAGCAGCCGCGGUAAUACGGAGGAUUCAAGCGUUAUCCGGAUUUAUUGGGGUUAAAGGGUGCGUAGGCGGUCGGAUAAGUUAGCGGUGAAAUCCCGAGGCUCAACUUCGGAAUUGCCUCUGAUACUGUUCGGCUAGAGAGUAGUUGCGGUAGGCGGAAUGUAUGGUGUAGCGGUGAAAUGCUUAGAGAUCAUACAGAACACCGAUUGCGAAGGCAGCUUACCAAGCUACUUCUGACGUUGAGGCACGAAAGCGUGGGGAGCGAACAGGAUUAGAUACCCGAGUAGUC
rnacentral:rRNA from 1 species